rnacentral:rRNA from 12 species
AACUUUUAACAACGGAUCUCUUGGUUCUGGCAUCGAUGAAGAACGCAGCGAAAUGCGAUAAGUAGUGUGAAUUGCAGAAUUCAGUGAAUCAUCGAAUCUUUGAACGCACAUUGCGCCCUUUGGUAUUCCAAAGGGCAUGCCUGUUCGAGCGUCAU